rnacentral:lncRNA from 1 species
GUAUAUAUUCAUUCAAAACAACAUGCUUUACAUAAGAGUUUAGUGGUUACAUCAAUCCCCCAACAAUAAUGAAACUAGCUCUCCAUGAAUGGAGAGCUCAAGCUUACAACAAUGGUGGAAAUGGAAGAAAGAAGAGAACCCAAGGAAGAAGAAGGGUUGUUCCCACAGCUCCUAGCUCGCUCCAAGAGCUCCCAAUCAGAGGAAAUGCGUUUGGGUAGCAAAAGAUGGCAAGUUCUUCGUGCAUCCAAGUGAAACAGGGCAAAUCUGCCAUGUCAGCAAAGUUGGCGCUCAAGCCCCCCAAAACUGGGGCGCUCAGGCGCACGUCAGUCACUCUUCAGGAGCUGAUGCAUUGGCGCUCAAGCCCCCCAAAACUGGGGGGGCUCGAGCCUGAUUUCAGCAUAAUUGUGUUUCUUCGUUUUUGCUGCUUUUCUUGCUUUUCUUGGUUUCCAGUGCCUUCCUUUGAUGCAUAGACUUCUUCCAAUUACCUUAAGCACAUAAAAGCAAGGAUUAGUGAACAAAAUAUCUCAUUAGAGCUUGGGGUGCAACCACUUAAUCAAACUAAAAGAAAACAAGGNUUUACAAGGUAAAAAGUUAGGAAAGGGUUGACAAUUUCUCUUGAUUCAUCACUGAAAUCAUGGUAAAAUAUGUCAUUAUCAAGAAGCUAGACUACAAUUCAAGUCUUUUAUAAGACUUUGAACAAAGAUUAAAUUGAAAGAAAAAUCAGGGAUAUAUAGGACAUUGAAAAUCACAAAAUCUUUAGAGAAUUGGACAAUUCCUGCAUGUUCAACAAUAAUAAUAGAGUUAUUUGGUAGCCUAAAUGGGCUUAAUUUUAUAGAAAGUGACAAAAUUCAUUUUCUCAUGGGUCACAUGAUCAGUGGCCCCGGUGUCAAUAAUCCAAGAAAGAUUACCUGGUUUGUCGUCUUGGUCAUUCCUCUGCAUUUAAUUGAUUUUAUGUGUAGGUUCAAUAGCUUUCUCAAUUAUUCUGAGAAGCUUUUUCAUUUGUUCUGGUGUGAGUGAGUUGAAGGCAGUAUUGAUGCCGCCUUGAUGAACUAUCUCUAGUCCAAAAUUGCUCUGGAAGGCAUUGACUGAAUUCCAGUCACUUCUUUUCUCUUAAUUGUUGUCAGUCUGUUUGUACCAAGGUGGAUAAUCGUGCUUGGAAUAACACUCAUCCACAAUGUGAUCCAUCUUGUUGCAGUAGGAACAUUGCUUUCCAUAGCUAGGAUUCCUUCCUCUGCCUCUUUCCUGGCCACGUGACCCAGCACCACGACCUUGAUUUUUCCAGGUCUGGUCAGUUUUAUAUUUGUUGUUUUUGUCAGCAAUUGGUCAGAACUCUUGUUGUUUCAGUAGACUGAUUUUGGGUUACAAUGCCAGUAUCAGAUCUUUCUUGUCUCUCCUAUUGCAUAAUGAGGGAGAAAUCAUGAUUGAUGUUUUGCAGAGGUUCCAUUAAGAGAAUCUAGGUUCGGACAGUGUUAUAGGUGUCGUUCAGCCCUUUCAAGAAGCAUAUAACGUGUUCUAUUUCUCAGUAUUUAAGAGAAUUCUUUGAGAACUCACAAUUGCAAAGGAUCUUACAGGUACAAUUGGGUAUGGGCCUAAGGGAUUCCAAUUCUUCCCAAAGGAUUUUUAAAUCAAUAAAUAAUUGAUUAACACUUUUUUCCCCUUGUUUGAUUGAAUGAAUAUCUUGAAGAAUGUCAUAAAUUUUAAAAUAGUCACCUUUAGAAAAUGUCUCCCUUAACUCAUCCUACAAUUCUUUGGCUUCUUCAACAUAUAUCACACUUUGUGCAAUCUAUGGAGAAAGUGUCUUUAUGAUCCAUGAGAGUACCAUCAUAUUGCAUCUUUCCCAUGCAUCAAAUAAAGCUGCACUUUUUUUGGGUUUCUUGAUUGACCCAUCAAUAAAUUUGAUCUUGUUCUUGGAGAAGAGAGUUCUUCUCAUGCUUCUGCUUCAAGAAGAGUAAUUAGUCUCAGUUAGGACUUGAGAGAUGAAGGUUAGGCCCGAAUUCUCCCCAGGAUGUAAGUAGGUCUGACAGGGUUGGUGGACUGAUCUGUGUUAUCCAUUGUAGUCUGAAGUAAGAAAUAGUCCAAGAAACUAAGCAAUAAACAUCAAGAAUGAAACCUGUGCAGCGGAAGUAGAGUGAGUAUUAAUCAUGCUCUUGAUACAAUAAAAAACUGACCCAAACAAAAACAGUUGAGGCCUAAUGGCCUUCGACCCAAUAAACGCGAAAUAUCUCUUUCGCAAGAAGUCUCUUCAGUCAGAUGGUAGGUGAGAGAUUGGACAGCGAGACGCGAGAGAAAAAGGGGGUAGUUGGAGAUCUCCACAGUGAUUCAAGAAUGAAACCUGUGCAGCGGAAGUAGAGUGAGUAUUAAUCAUGCUCUUGAUACAAUAAAAAACUGACCCAAACAAAAAUAGUUGAGGCCCAAUGGCCUUCGACCCAAUAAACGCGAAAUAUCUCUUUCGCAAGAAGCCUCUUCAGUCAGAUGGUAGGUGAGAGAUUGGACAGCGAGACGCGAGAGAAAAAGGGGGUAGUUGGAGAUCUCCACAGUGAUUCAGCAUCAAAGCUCGGAACACCCUUCACUGGAUGAAGAAACAGAAAGAAGAUCGAAGAGGAGAAAGAUGGAGAAGCAUGGAUCAAAGGUUAGAGUAAACGUUCCUCUAUUUACUUGUGUACAAAAUGUCCGUCUUGUGUAUUGUGUAUAUCUCUAUGUGUUACAACUGUUAAGAAAGGGGGAAACUCUAUUUAUAGAGUUCAAAGGGGAAAGGGAGAAACAUAAACUUAAAAAGGAAGAAAACCUAACAAACUAAGUAAGCACGAUUACUGUAUUAGACAGUAAUCCACCGAAUAUCUAGUUCUAAUAAGAGAAUUCCUAGAAAUUAACCCCAUGCAACUCCAAAUCACUACAAAAAUAAGGUCGGGACACUUCCACCACUACUCCUACAAACAAAGAAUCAAACAGAAAACAACCCAAUCGAAAUUAGAAAACCAAGAGGAAAGGAAGCUUCCUCCUUCGCUGGGAAUUAGAGUUAAAGAGAUUUAAUUACAUUAUCUAAUUAGAAUCAGAGAAUUUAAUUUAAAAUUUUCAUUACAAAUCAUAAUUUAUAUUUUUCACGUAAUAAAGUCAUCCAGAUUAAUAUUAUCACAUCGUAAUAAAAUCAUCUAGAUCAACCUUACCACGUCAAUUUUAUUGUUACAAUUUUAUAAAAUUUAUAUUUUCAAAAAAACAAUCACUUGAUAUUCUUCAACAUAUGAAUACCAUCCGGGUUUAAACCAAAAAUUAAUUACAUAACUUAAUUAAUAAAAAAUACAAGAAAACCCAAUCAUUGUAGGUAACAAAUGUUAACAUCGCAUUUCGGACAGAAUUAAUUAAGCAUUCUUUCUUCAGAUGAAAACUAUGACCUUUCACUACUAGUCAAAUUUCAACUUUUUCCAUAGAUGAAAAUUAAAGAAACUUUUUUAAUAGUAACUAAAGUCAAAUUUUACUAAUUUUAUAGACACAAAAUAUAUUUAAGUUUAUAUUUUGAUAUUAUAUAUUAUAAAAUAAUAUAUAUUGAUAUGUAUUUAGUAUGCACUAUAUAUAAAUAUUGUAAUAUUAUUUAUAUAUAAAAUAUUUUAUAUAGGAAAAAUUCAAUACUAAUAUAUCAUGAGUUAAACUUUCAAUCUAAAAUGUUUAAGAUAUUUUUCUAUUAUAUGUAACAGGUCAACUUUCUCAUUCUUGAUACUGGUUCUUAUUAGUAGAAUAUAAAAUGUUAUAAAAAAAAAAUUCUUACUUUCAUAUUUGGUAAUGAGUACAGCAUAUGAAAGUAAGAAUUUUUAACAAAUAUAAAAUGUUACAUGAGAUACAGAGUGCUUACAAAUACAACUUUCAGUAACUAAUCUUUAACAAAAAAAAAUAACUCCCAAGAAGUCAAUUGAAUAACUAUUCCUGUAUGCAAUAUUAUUUUGGAUGUAGGCCUGUUCAUUUCAAACAAUCUUUUCACUCUUUAGCUUCCCUUUUGGCUUUUCGGAUAUUCUAACCCAUGAGGUGUAUCUGUUAAAAAUAGUCUAAUGUUUAAUUUAGUUCAGUAUUAAACCGGUUUAACAAUCAAUGUUGUAAUAAAUACGUCUUAAAAGUUCUAACAAUCAUAUUUUUGAUAUGGUAUUUAUAUGUUUUUUCAUGAAGGUCUAUCUAAUCACAACCUUGUUAUAAUUUAGUCUAUAUAAUAUGAAAACCAAAAACACAAAAAUCAAACACCUUAAACUUUGUUAUCAAAGAAUUGCCAUCACUCUUCCAAUUCACCAACAAAAACUUUUUGGAUGUGAGAUAUUUUGUGGUAAUCCUGUCCAACCCCCGGCUGGUAUCUUUUGCAUAAUUCAGGACAGCUAUUAAUGAGUAAAUUUUCAAGAUUUUUGAGGUUAUCAGGGAGUGACUGCAGGGAUGAACAGUAUUCAAUUACAAGCAGUUUGAGACAAAUCGUAGAAGAAAGCCACUCAGGAAGCUCCUUAAGAUUGUUGCAGUCAGCAAUUACCAAGGAGUGUAGUUUGUUCAUAGAUCCUUGCAACCACUGAGGCAAAGUGACCAACUGUUGCAAACUUUUAAAAGCAAGAGACUUUAACCUUAAAUCAGGGAUUUGGUUGCCAAAGCCCAUUGACAAUUCCAACUCACAACAAUUGUCGAUAACCAAAUUCUCCAAAUUUGUUAUGACAUGAGAGGACAAAGAUUUCAGUUUCCCGCAGUCAUGCAAAGACAAAUUUUUAAGACUAGAAAGUUGUAUCCCUUUCAACAAUGACUCCAAAUUAUCACAAGAGUUGAAUGUUAGAGUCUCUAAAGAAGUCAAAGUUGAGAUUUCUUGGUCCGGAAAAUGAAGUUGCCUUGUGGUUAUAUGCAACUGGCGUAGGCUGAUGAGUUUGCUUAUUCCUUUGGGCAAUUCUUGUAGCUCCGUGCAUUGAUUAAGGUUCAAAGUUUCCAAAUUUUGCAGGUUACAAACUGAGCGAGGAAGUCCCUUAAGGUUUUUACUCCCAAAGAGACUGAGAUAUCUUAAGUGUUUCAACUUUCCAAUGGAAGGAGGUAAACUCUCGUAUAUAGAGUUACUCAGUUCUAAAAACCUCAAGUAUUUGCACCUUGACACCAAUGUGUUCAAGAAAGCUUCAUUGGUGGCUUCAUCAGGAAAAAUUAUAGUUCUCAGACCAGUAGGAAUGACAGCUUGGUCUAGCAGAUUAUUAUCACUGAAUGCCAAAUGUCGAGCAUUGGGAGAUAUUUUUGAACUGCGGGGGUAUAUUGUCUGAAACUCACCUUUGGCAGUAUACAUAGCAAGAUCAUGCACUAAAUCAUGUAAUUUAAAACUGUAACCAUGGCCUAAUUCAAUGAAAUCUGUGAGAAAAGAUCUUGACCACAGCUCACGCAGAAAUUGAAUGGCAAUAUCAUGCAUUGUCUCAUUUUCCUUUGGUGGUGGAAGAAAACCAAGUGCCUCCCACAACUUAGCAACAUAAAAGCUAAAAAAUUCAGAACCCUCACAGAAAAGGGAGAAGCAAACAAAACAGGGUUUCAAAUGGGAAGGCAGUUGAUUGUAACUUAUCUCAAGAGCAGGCAAAAUGUCCUUUUCUUUUUGUGGCAAAUUCCAAAUCUUAUCGUCUCUCAUAGCCUCCCACUUGCUUUUACCAACCACAGAGAACAGUGAACUCGCUAAAGUUUUCACUGCCAAUGGUAUUCCUCCACACUUGAUCACGAUUUCCUUCCCAAUCUCCAACAACUGUGGAUAUCUUUCUUCUUCCCCUUCUUUAAAAGCCGUUUUGACAAAUAAAAAGAAGGAAUCAUCUUCAGAAAGGCGUUCUAGAUGGUAAGAGUUGGAGGAUUUGGUGCACAUCAUGGUAGCUGUCAAGUGGCUACGAGUUGUCACUAAGAUUUUACACCCCUCAACACCUACAUCUAGUAUUUCCUUCAAAUCAUCCCAUCUAGCUUGAUACUCGUUCCACACAUCAUCCAGCACAAGCAAGAACUUCUGGCGUUGAAGUGUAUUUCUCAAACGAUUUUGAAGCUGCUCAGUCUCAAUGUUUUUGAAGUUUUCGUUAGUUGGGUUUAAAGCAGAAUUGAGGAUCUUAAUAAGCACAUUCCUAAGCUCAAAAUCACCAGAGACACAAACCCACAUCUUCAAUGGGAAACACUCGUCGAUGGUGGUGUCAUUGAACACCAACUUUGCCAGUGUGGUCUUUCCCAAACCACCGAAUCCCAGAAUGGAAACAACUGAGAGACUUUUGUCAUAACCAUCAUGAUCAUGUUGUAGUAAAAGCUUUAGUAUUUCCUGUUUUUCAUGAUGUCUUCCAAUAACAUUGGAAGGGUUUACGUGGGAAUAAGUAGUAUCCGUCACAUGCACGACACGUGUAUCUUGGUCAAUGAUUUGAAGGCCGAACGUGUUCCCAUCAGCUGCAACUUUCUGCAACCUCUCCUUGAUGUCUUUUAUCUCAUGUGCCAUUCUGAUUCGGUAAAUGAUUGGAUUACUGGUUGAGAAAAAACGACGUACCUGUCUUGUGAAGCCACCGCGAGUGUUGACAACGUGCUUCCGCAACGCUUCACACUCAAAAUCAUCAACUAAGUCUUCUGCGUGGGAGAACACUUGCUUGAUCUGUAUCAGCCAUUCACUCAGUGAGUUGCUCCUUGGCUUCUUUUGCUCAGCAUCUAACAGGAAAGCUUUGAUGAGUGACAUACUCAUUUUCAUCUGUUGAAGAUCUGCGUGCACACCGAGAGCAAGAGAAGCUUCGUGAACGGCUCCAGAAGCAAGCUUCCCUAUGAGUGAUUCUGCGAAGGUGAAAAGAAGUGAUUCGGCCAUGAUGUUUUUCAGAGAGAUCUGUGGGAAUGAAAUGCAAGGAUACCUUGGUUUAGUUUGAAUUGAUCUAGAUAUCAUUGUUUGGAUGGUGGAGAGUUGCUCGUAGAAAUAUCUAUGAUGAGUAGUUCAAAUAUUUAUGGUUGAAUCAUAAAUACCAUGGGUUGGCAUGGGACACUCCUAUUUGAUUACCUUAGACGGAUGAUGAAUCAUAAAUAAUUGCCUUUAGAUAGUUUAUAUAAGAAGAUAUUCUCUCAGUUGAUAAUAUUUGUUUAAUAUUUUUAUUUGUAUUCGAUUUUAGGAAAUUUUUUACAUAAAUAUGAAAAAGUUUGACGUUUAAUGAAUACUUGAAUAAAUUGUUAGAUAUUAUUAAUAGAAUAAGAUUAUUGAGUAAGGAAUUUCUUGAUUCCAUACUAUAUUGGAAAAGUUCUGGUACAAUGUUAUAUGAAAUAUCUAUUAUUUUGUUGAAAAACAUAAAGAAUUUAUUUAUAAUUAUUUUGUCACAAAUGAUGCGUGGCUCACAAGCAUAAGCUUAAAGAAGAUUAAUAAAACAUCCAAGGCACUUUACUUCAUAUUCUUGAAGUUACUUUUAAAGUCAAGAAUUACAAUGAGAAAAUACAAAUCCCAAUUUCCCCAUGAAACAUCAAGAUGCUAAAAGACAAGUCAAGAUGGUAAAAGAUAAAUCAAAAGAUAAAAUUACAUUGUGUUUUACAGCUAACAAAUCUACAAAAUCUACGAAAUAUUACCUUCUAAAUAAGUUUCUACAAACUAUAUGACUCAUAUGAAUGAGAACUUUUCAAAGUGUUUAACAAAUAUUAUAUUUCUAAAUUAAGAAUAGAAAAUAGAUGUUGUGAAAAUAUAGAAACAAUUUAAAAUUUUUUUAGGUGUCAAAUUAUUUUUUGAUAUCUUAUAUAUUUUGGAUAUUAAUAAAAAAUUAUUAGGUGUUUCUUAACUGAUAAAGAAAUGUUAUAAGUUGUCUUUUGAAAACAAACUUUGUAAGUUGUCUUUUGAAAACAAAUUUUGUGAUUAAAAAUGCAAACAACCUAGUGUUAGAAUUUUUAAGAGAGACACAUGGGAGAUUUGACAUCAAUGAGUGGUGAACAAACCUAUAUAAAAACCAUGAAACCACAUUCAACCUAAAACCUUCAUAUAAUAGGUUAUAAUAUUAUCUUAGUCAUUUCUAACCAAACAUAAGACUUUCAACUCACCUUAAAUUCUUAACAAUCUUACCUUAAGGGUGAGUCAAUUUUACAUUAGAAAACCUCCAUCUUAAGCAUAAACAUGUUAAGUACUUGUAUCUUGGUGGAAACCCUUACUUUUUUACUAUACUCUAAUGUGGGAAUUACUUUUCUAAAAUAGAAGAUUUUCAAAAAUUACUUUUUUAAAAUAGAAGAUUUUCAAUACAAGAAAUCCUCAAACUUCAUGAGGAGUAUUACAAGUUUCUUUUCAAAACACACUUUUGUGUGAUUAAAGAUUGCAAACAACCUAGUGUUAGGUUUUUUAAAGGGGAGAGACUGAGAGAUUGGACACCAAUGAGUCGUAGACAGACUCCUAUAAGAUAUCACGACACCACCUUAAACCUAAAAUUUCAUCUUAGUCAUUUCUAACUAAUGUAAGAUUUAUAACUCACAUUGAAUUUGCUAAUAAUAUUUCUUUCAAGUGUGAGUCUUUUUUACAUUGGAAGGCCUACCUAUCAAGCAAAAAUAUUUUUUUAAUUUUUUAAGUACAAUUAUUUUAGUGGUGACUCUUCCUUUGUAUUGUUGCUCUAGAAUAGGAUAUACUGUCCUUAAAUAAAAGACUUUCGAUAUAUACUGUCCUUAAAUAAGAUAUUCAAGAUCUUCCAAUUGAGAACCAAAACAUUUACAUUCAAUUAAAAAAGAAGACAUAGUUUGCUCUUUCUUUCCUAAAAUCUCAUCUAUAUACAAACUGUCUUCAUAUACAUAUAUACACGUGUAUUCAUGUGUAGUAAAAAAAUCACUUCAAAUAAAAACUAUCAUUUGAAAAGAGCCACCCCACUAGAAGGAAGAAAUAGCUGAAGUAGUCGUACUGCAUGAUAGGGUAUCUCUUCAAUGUUGCUUGUGCUGUGCACGUUAGAAUCAAAAACUCAAAAUGGUUAAAAGCCGCAUGGAACUACUGGAACAAAUUAGAGUUUUCGGUAAGGAAGCUCCAAGGUCCUGAUGCAGUAACAAUCCUGAAUAAUAAAGUUCAUAAAUGUUUACAUCUUUCAAUGCAACGUCGUAAAUUUUUAUGCUAAUGUGUCUUUUAUUUGUAGCAGAAGUUACCUCCAAAACCCUGCAAAUAUCCUUAGAGCCAUGUAAAUAGACAACGCAAUCCAGAUACCAGUGAAGCCAAAGCUUGAGGACAGCACAUAUAAACUACAUAUGCUCACCAACGCCACCAUAAUCUGAGAAUAAUAGCAAGUACAUAAGCAAUAAUGGGGCCACAAAGGAGGAGUUGGGGGCUGGGUAAUCAUUGCAAUAAUUCUUUCUAAGUACAUAAUAGCAAUUAAAUGGUUGUUGGUCAACAUUCACAAUAUCAUUUUUUUCCUUGUUUUCAAAGGCAAAAGGUUGAUCAGUAUUAGUGAAUCAUGAACACAAUCUAAGAUACUAGCUUGAAUCUACAGAAGAAGUAAUUUUUCUAAUUAACUUACCAUUGAGUAAGCGGAGUAUGUGAAAUCUGAUGCCCCAUAGUUGAUUCCAUCAAAAACAAAUGCCAAAGCAUUGAUGGGUUGAGUGGCAGCAACAUACUGACCAAGUAUUCAUCAAGUAAAGAGAGGAAAAACAGAUGAGAAACUAUGAAAUCAUUACAUUGUUAGGAAGAAAGAGUGUUAUUUUAUAUUGUAUUGAUGUUACUUACUGGAAUGCCAAUACUGAUAAGUUGCAGAACACUUCUGUCAUUUGUAAAUAACUUAGAACCAAAGGGCAGUAGACUCAUAAGAAGGACCGAGAGCACCAGCCCAAGAAUCAAGCCAAGCUGCAUAGUAAUAUUACUCAGGAUAGGUGAAUUAAGAGCAUCAAUAACUAAAUAAAUAAUAUUGAAGUAGCAAGUUGGAAUACCUGCAGCACACGUGAGGCAGAUUCGACAACCUUUUUGUAAUCCCUUUUAGCAAAUUCACUUGCAAUAAUAGCCUGAAAACAAUCUCACUAUUGUCUAUAUUGACUUGAAUGUAUAAAAGGAACUUACAUUUGGGAAAUAAAAACAUCUCGGGAGUGAAGAUUGAUACGUGAAUGAUGAUAAAUAUCACAAGGAGACUAUGAGGAUGCAUGUAAUUGACUUGUGAAAUUAAUGGACCGUAAAACUCUUCAAAAUUACCUUUCUUUUUACUGUUAUAGCCAUGUUUGCUUGUGUUAAUGGUAAUGUUUAGUUAAGUAGAUGAAUUUAGUCUGAUUUUGGACAGAUUUGUACUUUUUUAAUGAUGGUGAAUACACAUCUUUUUGCUGAUACCAUUUAUGAGUAUGAUGAUGGUCUAUCAUCUGUCAUGUUUUUUUUUUUCCUUAAACAUGAAUCAAGUAUGGAUAAUAGUAUGGUUAUGCAGCAAACACUAAAAUUGCUUUGUUUCUCUUCCCUUUCAUGUUAUUAUGGUUUAUGGUGUAAGCUGUCUUCGUUUAACAUUAAUGAUGAUUCUGAGGCAAAUUCAAUACAGGAGCAUGUAGAAACUCACUAAAUGCAAUCAAUAAGAAAUUUGUAUAUGCUUUAAACAGGAUUGACAAUAAUGGUAUACAAGGUUAUCAAAUUCAAGAAUUUAUGUAAACUCGACUCGUAAACUUAUAAGAGUCUACAUCAGAUAAAAAAGUUAUAUAAAUAAUAUAUUAAUUCAAAUAAGUCUAUAAAAUUAUAUAAUUUUAAAUAAAUAAAAUAUAUAGAUAUAUUGUUCAUAAAAAUAAAUAUUGUAAAACAUAAAUAUUUGAAUUAUUGUCAUUAAUUUUGAUGCAUUUCAUUAAAUAUAUAAUAAAAAAAGAAUUGUAGUAGUGCCAUGAAGAGACAAAAGGGUACGAGAGAUAGUGAUAGUCAGGUCAUGAAACCCUAAACUUCAAUCGACCUCGUUUUUUCUUAAUUUUUUCCUUUUUAAGCUCGUAGAAUCGUUCCAAACUUGCGAUUCUACACAAUCCUAUCGAUUUCAUAAUCGAUUCUACCGAGUUUACGCAGAAAAAAAGUUUACUUUCCAGUUAACUCGGAAGUCAUGUCUAAGAACCUAAACUCGUACGAGUUUACGAGUUAACUCGAGAAUUUCAUAACCAUGAUGAUAUAGAAGUUCCAAUUAGAAGUUUCGGGUGUCUUGCUGGCACAUGCCAAGUAUGGAAUUGACAGUUGAAUCGAGGCAGAAAAUCUUGGAAACCUUUCAUUGAAAAUCUUGGAAACCUUUCAUGUUGAAUAGAAAUGAACAAGAAGAACAAAAUAUAAGAAAAGACCUAAAAAUCUAUUAUUGUAGGAUUUUGAGUUGAAUGCCAUGUUAUGCUCUUUUAUAUGGGUUUACUCACUAUUCUAUCGAAUCUCCCUCUAGUAGGAUAUUUAUUUUGACAUUUCAAAUGAGCUUUAGAAAUAGGUUUUUGGACUCAUUAUGAAUUACUUACUUGUCCAGCAACAGCCAAUCCAUCAGCAAGCAAAGAUGUUGCCAUCCAAAUUUGUAAGCAGAUUUGAAAUGCAGCCAUAGUUGUUGAUCCUUUCCUUGCUGCUAGGGAUGCAGACAAGGUCACACAGAAAGUCACAGCUCCAACUUUAACCAACAACAGAAACCCUACAACCAAGGGAAGAAAACUGAGUCAGAAACUUGUCCUUGAGAAUGCAUCAAAAAUAUUUACAGAAGACUACAAGAGAUUGAUCAAAUUCAAGCGGUAGGAAGAAAAGUAAUGAUAAGAAAUUAGGAAGCAGGAGAUUUUAAAAGUAGAGAAGGAAUAGAUAAAAUCAUAACCAUUUUUCAGAAUCUUCCCAAAUUGAAAGUCUUUCAUUGUCGGAGGCAGAAGAACAACUUGUUUCAUCAAACUCCACAAUAGCAUUAUGGCUAUCAAGUACCUAUUAAAUCAUGUCACCAAUGUGACUUCAGCUGGAACAUCUUGUUUGUGUGAUAUAUCCUUAAUCAUAAAUGAAUCUCAAAAGGUGAACUUACUGCGAGAAAAUGUGGGCAAUGGCUGCCCCACUGACUCCCAACCGCACUACGAACAUAAGCAAUGGAUCUAAAAGGAUAUUUGUUGCAUCUCCCAUUACUGCAAUGAAGUUUUACAAGUUACUGAAUGAGAAUAAGGUAUUUCUCAUUUUGUGUUUAGAAAUAAAUUUUAAUUGAUCUCCACUAACCCUUUAGUCUCUAUCAAGAUCUGAUUCAAGAAAUUUGAAUGGAUGCACAUGAAACAACAUAAAAAAUAUACAAAAAUGCUAAUCAGUCCCUUUUGUUUUUAAUUUAAACGCAACUUUUCACGUCAGAACUUUUUCUCUCCCUUUCAUAGCAUCAAUGUUGUUGAUUGGAAUCAUUUAUCCACAUAAAGGAAAUCUUAGUUAGGAGAUUAUGAUAAAAAUUGGAACACUAGAGGAAGUGAUUUAUCUAAAUGGAAAUCAUAUUAUCAAGUAACAAUUAACAGAGAUCUAGUAUCACCAUAAUGAACUGGAUAGAUAUACUGAUCCAAUGUAUAGAAGAUGUGAAGUACCUGUAGCAUACAAAGGAGUUUUUGUAUCUCUGAUUCCACGAAAAACUCCUUGAAUUGCCAUAGAAAUAAUAACUGCUGGUGCACCAAAUGAUCUCAGUGUCAAGUAUUGUUGUGCUGGUUUGAACAUAGGAGAAUUCUGCAUGAAAAACAAUAUGACAGUCAUUUAAAGUCUUCUAAAACUAUAGACCAAAAAUAAAAAAUUAAGGUUAGCUUCAAAUAAUUAUUAAAGGGUUAAUGGUGUUUUUACUUCUUGGAAAAUGGAUCGGUUUUGAUUUUAGUUCCUACUUUUAAAACCAUAAGUUUUCAUCGCUAUAGUUUUGAAAUAGUCAAACUUUAGUCUCUGAAACUAAUAAUGCAGAGAACAAAAACUCAAGAUUAUAAGGACUAAACUCUGUUAAACAUAUAGGGAUGAAAACUAAUAGUUUUGGAAGUCAGGAAUAAAACCAAAGAUUAGUCACUUUCUAGGGACUAAAAACAGCACUGACACAUUGUUAAGUCAGCCCAAGUGAUUCAUUUCAUGGUUUGUCCAGAAAGUACUCACAGAAUCAACGCCCAUGUAAUUCAACAUCGGUUUAGCUGUAAAAAUGAGAAAGAGAGUUUGUAGGACCCCAAGAACACCGCCAAUAACUAUUCCUGAUGAUGCUGAUGGAAUAUAGGCUUUGCCACGGCCAACUGCAGCCUUUUUAUCAGCAUUUAUUGAAAAAGUGUUGCCUUAAAAAUGUAAAUAAAAGUAAAUUUAAUACUUAUAGAGUAAACCAGAAAAGCUUCAAUUGAAUGAACCAUAAAAUACAAAUUCAUAAAUUUGAAUGGUUGUUUGUCCUUGAAAAAUAUAUAUACCAGUUUUGUCUUCUAUAUCCACCUUUACAUUUACAUUAGAUUCCUCAAGCAGAAUUUCUUUUUCCGACUGAUGACUUUGUUCAGCAGCAUCUUCCUCAGCAACCAGAGAGGUUGUAACACUGACAAGCGGAAUUAUUGUAAUUUUUGAGAUUUGAUUGAAAAUAGCAAUGGAGACUCCCACAGCAGCAAGCUCCACAGGGCCUACAAAAUAGCAAUAAAUGCAGUCAAUGGCAAGCUAGUAACUGGAAAAUGGACAAAAAAAAAAUUAUGAAAGGGUAAUUCCUACAGUAAAAGCUAUAGUUCUUCUAACAGUUCAUGGAAAUAUUUAGCAUUGUUUCAUCCCUAAUGGUAUGGAUAAUCUUUUGCUGUUCACCACUUUAACUAUUUAUGAACACAAGGACACAAGAGAAGAGAAGUAUUAAAACAAUAAACAUAGUUAGCUACAUUUAUAACACUUCUAUAGGCCCCUCAAUCUUCAAGACAUAUCCCACUUUCUAGAUUUUAAUUCUAUGACUUGUGAAAAUGUUACCAUUGUGACCAUUCACAUAGUUGCAGCACCGUUUGCCCUGUGUCCUCUUCAUCAUCAUCAUUCAUAAUAUAACAAGAACAACAAAGGCGUUAUCCAACUAGGUGAGGUCGACAACAUGGAUCUCACAAUGUGGGCACCUAAAUUUGUCCUCAAAUAUGAAACUUCAUAAGGUCAAAUCUCCAACCACUAUGUCCUUGUAAGCCUAAAACUGGACUUUAGACACCCGUUGUGCAUAUGAAAAGUGAAAAUCCCCAAACAGGUUGCAUUACUAGUCAGCAGCAAACACCAUAAAUAUUCACAAAACGUUAAUUGUAUCAGUCUAACAGUUUUCUGGGAAAAUGUAAAUCAAACCUAUAUGGCCGAUGAAUGCAGUAUCAAUUAGAGAAGCAAUAGGAUCUGCUGCCAAAGCCAGAGUUGUAGGGAGUGCAAUAUGCACUAUUUCCAGGCCUAAUUCAUCAUCUGUCAGAGCAUUCCUGAAAGCAUAAAAAAACAUGGCCUCUUCAAUUAUCAUGAAUGCAAUGUCUACCACAACUAGUAAAACAAGGAAAACUUCAUCCAAGUUGAAUCAAAGUCCUAAAACAGUGCAGAGCUAAAGAAACACAGUUAAACUGAAAGAAAAGAUACAGUGCAAGCAAUAAUCUGUACCUUAUACCAGAAAAUAACAUUAAAAAGGACAUGAUUCUUGAGAGCGGCUUCCUCUCAAACAAUGGAAUUCCCUUACACAAGUUUACCACUUUUCUUCUGGUAUUCAGUAGUUGAUCAACCGACAACCAAUGGAAACUAGAAACAGUCAAAGAGCACAUAAUGAGAAAUUGGAUCAACAAUCAACACCACUUUGACACGAAAGAUAUAACAGUGAAUGAAAAAGGCUUCCAUGACUCCAUACUUUUCUCUCAUAGAUAGCCCAGAUGAAAAGCAUUAUCAUGAAGCAAAGGAGCAAAUCAAAUCAUGUUACGUUUAUCAUAUCACAUGAUUUGUUUCAAUAGAAAAAGGAAAAUCAACUUAAAAUGAUGAACAGGUUGUAUCUGUUUGACACCAGAUAGGUGCACAUUUCAGUGAAGCCUCCCUCAGUUGAAUAGAACCCAGAUUAUACAAAGUUUAGUGUAUAUUAUACUAUAACUAGUACUUUUGCACUACAAUACAAGAUAAAUAUUUAAAAUUUACUUGUAAAUUUAUAAACAUAAUAAACAACUUUUUUAAAUACAAAUAUUAGACUUAAAUAAUUUUUUAGUAUCCAGUAAAAAUAAAAUUAUAUAUGGAAUCCUCGAUGAAAAUAAAUAAUGUUUCGUUUUAUUUAGGGUAGAUGUAGUUUCCAUUAUCAGUCAAAACAGUGACGUAUAUACAUAUUACUUGACCAUAUUACUAUUUUGAUGAAAAGUUGCAAUAACAAAAUUCUAAACAAAACAUUUUUCUUUAUUGAAAACUCAUUAUAUGAAUUUUUUUUUGGAUAUUCAAUUUAAAGAAUUUAUGCUACUUAAAUCUUAUGUAAGUCUAAAUUAUAUUUUGCAAAGGUGUGAAAUCUUUAAAAUUAUUUAUUAUAAUAUCAAUAUCAUGCAAUAGUUAAAAAUUAUAAUUUACAACUAAUUCAAUGUCAAUAUUAGAUGACCAGAUUGAUAUUUCAAAUGUUUUUUAAUUAUGAAAUUACUCAAAUAAUUUUUAAUUCCAAGUUUAACAAAGACAGUUAAUUAUUUUAGAUGGUAAAAUGGACUAAUGUUGGUCAAACAUUUAAACGUAAUAUCGCAGGUAAAACAUAUAUCUAGUUUUACAUAAAAGAAGGACUUUUUCAUCUGGAUAUUGUUUUUGUUUCAUUUUUUUUUCUACCUAUUUAUUUCAUACUUAUUUUAGGGAAUCAAUAUUUUAGUGCACUCUCAAACGUUUAUACUAUAUUAAUCAUGUAUUGCGUUUAUAUUUAUUUACUAGUGUUAUUUUUUAUAACUAGAUAUUUAUCAAAUUUUGAAUAAAAAUUAAAAUAUUAUUUAAGCAUCACGCAUUACUUUUUUUUUUUGUAACGUAUAUUUAUCCUACAAAUAAUGAGUAUUAUUUAGAUUGAGUGUGGUAUGGGGAGGGUGUGAUGUAUUAUGACAAUACAGUAUUGCUUGCGAAAUAAAAAAGAAGAAGUUUAAUUAAAGUUGUAAUAAGAGAAAAAAAUAUUUAAAGAUAAUAAACUUAAUAAAUAUUGAAUAAGUUAAGCAAUUAAAGAGGAUGAAAACUUCUGUAGAAAAGUUUUUCUAACAAAACGAAAACUAGGGCUCAAAAGAGAACAAAAAGAAAAAUAUUCAUGUUACCUAGAAAUAAAUUAAAACUAGGGGUCAAAAGAGAAAAAAAAAAACUUGUAUUAUAUCCACAUACAUAAAAAGAGAAAAAAAUCAUACAUAAAAAAGACGUAGUUAAAGUACAUACGAAUAUAUCCACAUAUAACUUAUAUACAGAUACGAAUAAUCCAUAUAUAGAUAAUUCUUAUAUAAUUAUAUACGGAUUAUCGAAAUAUAACUUAAAUACAAAUAAUCCGCAUAUAAGUUAUAUAAAUAUCAUUAUAAAAUUUUCAUAAUUAUUAACAAAAAUAAAUUUCUCAAUAAAAUUAAAUUUAUUGACAAAUUUUAGAAUUUAAAUUAUCAACGAAAAUUCUAUUAAUAAAAUUUGUGGGUGAUAUUUAUAUUUAAAUUAUGGACAAAUAUUUUUGUUGGUAAUGUAUAUAUUAGUAAAUUUUGCCCAUAAUGUAUAAUUUUUUUAUUGAUAAAUUUGUUCAUUGUUAAAUUUUGUUGGUAAAGUAAUGGUACACUUCACACUUUGGGUCUUGACCAAUUCGUGUAAUCUACCAUUAAAACUUGUUGAUAAUUAUAUGUCUAAAAAUUCGUCAAUAAUUUAUAUUUUUAUUGUUCAUUAAUAAAUUUCCUGUUUAAUCUAAUGAAUUUUUUUUUGUAUAUUAAGUGGAGAUGGGUGAAAAAAAACAAAAGAAGAAGAGGAGAGAAGGAACAAAAGCUAGAGUUGGUAGCAUGGUAACAAAUGCAACAAAGACGAUGACAUUGGAGGAGAAGAACGAUGAGAUGAGAGAAGAAGGAGGAGAAUAUGAGAAAGAAGAAAUAAAAGAAAAAAAAAAAGAAUGAAAAAGAAGAAAAGCGAAAGAAUAAAAAAAAUCCA